rnacentral:lncRNA from 1 species
AGAACAUCUACUUUCUUUUCGGUAUUGUGUAUUUCAGUUUCAAACGAUUUGACCUUGGUAUUGAAUUCUGACCUUUUCUGUGAUCCAGCUUCGUCUAUCAAACAGAACUCAUGUUUCUUGUGAGACGAUGUCAAGCAUAUACUACAAAGCAAACAGGAACACGUAUUACAGAAAUGAAGAAAUCUUCCAUCGUGUUUUUGGCAAAUGAGUGUUUUUUCUUCCGGGUUGAUUGUAUGUG